rnacentral:rRNA from 1 species
GGCGUAGGGCGCGAGCGUUGUCCGGAUUUAUUGGGCGUAAAGAGCUCGUAGGCGGCUCAUUGCGUCAACCGUGAAAACCAGCAGCUCAACUGUUGGCUUGCGGUUGAUACGGGUGGGCUGGAGUUCGGUAGGGGAGACUGGAAUUCCUGGUGUAGCGGUGAAAUGCGCAGAUAUCAGGAGGAACACCGGUGGCGAAGGCGGGUCUCUGGGCCGAUACUGACGCUGAGGAGCGAAAGCAUGGGGAGCGAACAGG